GACGAUUCGAACUCAACGGCACUCAACGACACAAAGAUUUUUGAAUUUUUUAAUUUUAAUCUCAUUAGUGACUCAGUGACAAUGAUUGACAAAAUCUGCUUGAUCCUGCUCCUGAGCUGCCUCAUCACGCAAGAAACGAUGGCUCACUAUCCCAUAGGUUCAGCAAACGACCUGGUCGUUAAUGGUAAAGUAGAUGUGGCCCGUG